rnacentral:rRNA from 1 species
CCUACGGGUGGCUGCAGUCGAGAAUCAUUCACAAUGGGGGAAACCCUGAUGGUGCGACGCCGCGUGGGGGAAUGAAGGUCUUCGGAUUGUAAACCCCUGUCAUGUGGGAGCAAAUUAAAAAGAUAGUACCACAAGAGGAAGAGACGGCUAACUCUGUGCCAGCAGCCGCGGUAAUACAGAGGUCUCAAGCGUUGUUCGGAAUCACUGGGCGUAAAGCGUGCGGAGGCUGUUUCGUAAGUCGUGUGUGAAAGGCGCGGGCUCAACCCGCGGACGGCACAUGAUACUGCGAGACUAGAGUAAAGGACGGGGAGCCGGAAUUCGCGGGGUAGCAGUGAAAUGCGUAGAUAUCGAGAGGAACACUCAGGGCGAAGGCAGGUUCCUGGGGAUUGACUGACGCUGAGGCACGAAGGCCAGGGGAGCGAAAGGGAUUAGAUACCCCAGUAGUC